UUUAAUGAUGAUUAAUCUUUUUUAUUUAAUAACUUUCGUUCUACUGACUGUGAUCAAACGAUCUUGUAGAUAACUUUUACUCUGAAA
rnacentral:snoRNA from 1 species